GACGAACGCUGGCGGCGUGCUUAACACAUGCAAGUCGAACGGAAAGGCCCUGCUUUUGUGGGGUGCUCGAGUGGCGAACGGGUGAGUAACACGUGAGUAACCUGCCCUUGACUUUGGGAUAACUUCAGGAAACUGGGGCUAAUACCGGAUAGGAGCUCCUGCUGCAUGGUGGGAGUUGGAAAGUUUCGGCGGUUGGGGAUGGACUCGCGGCUUAUCAGCUUGUUGGUGGGGUAGUGGCUUACCAAGGCUUUGACGGGUAGCCGGCCUGAGAGGGUGACCGGCCACAUUGGGACUGAGAUACGGCCCUGACUCCUACGGGAGGCAGCAGUGGGGAAUAUUGCACAAUGGGCGGAAGCCUGAUGCAGCAACGCCGCGUGCGGGAUGACGGCCUUCGGGUUGUAAACCGCUUUCGCCUGUGACGAAGCGUGAGUGACGGUAAUGGGUAAAGAAGCACCGGCUAACUACGUG
rnacentral:rRNA from 1 species